CACGUAGGGGGCGAGCGUUGUUCGGAUUCAUUGGGCGUAAAGGGUGCGUAGGCGGCGCGGUAAGUCGGGUGUGAAAUUUCGAGGCUUAACUUCGAAACUGCAUUCGAUACUGCCGUGCUUGAGGACUGGAGAGGAGACUGGAAUUUACGGUGUAGCGGUGAAAUGCGUAGAUAUCGUAAGGAAGACCAGUGGCGAAGGCGGGUCUCUGGACAGUUCCUGACGCUGAGGCACGAAGGCCAGGGGAGCAAACGGG
rnacentral:rRNA from 1 species